AUCUCCUGUGUUUAUUCCUGAGCGAGUCUGCAGGUGGGUGCGGCUGAGAUUCCCCUGUUGGGCAUCAAGGUACCAGGGUACUUAAGGAGCAGCGAGACACUCCACACCGGUUGAUUACUCAGUUUGGGUUCUCAUCUCUAACCCUGGGUCUUCAAGUCACGUCUCGCUGCACUACCCUGGCCGCCCGCUCUCAGUCCCCCACCUGCUUCGAUCCGUCGGUCACCCGCAGUCUCACCCCCGGGGUGUCAUGUUGGUUCUGUCAAACACCUAGUAGUACCCAGCAUGACAGUGAUAUAAGAAUAAUAAAAUAUAGUGCAGGGUUCACCUAUCAAGAUUUUAACUCUCUGGUCCAUAAAUCUGUCUGAAUUGUAUGUUUGAAUAAUUUAAUCCCAAAAUUCUUAACAAAGGAUUCAUAAAACUAAACAAUAAAGGAGCUAAGGAGGC